rnacentral:rRNA from 1 species
ACUCCUACGGGAGGCAGCAGUGGGAAUAUUGGACAAUGGGGAAACCCUGAUCCAGCCAUGCCGCGUGUGUGAAGAAGGCCUUCGGGUUGUAAAGCACUUUCAGUGGGAGAAAGGCUGAUGGUUAAUACCCUAUCAUGCUGUGACUGUUACCCACAGAAGAAGCACCGGCUAACUCCGUGCCAGCAACCGCGGUAAUACGGAGGGUGCAAGCGUUAAUCGGAAUUACUGGGCGUAAAGCGUGCGCAGGCGGUC